CCUACGGGUGGCUGCAGUGAGGAAUAUUGGUCAAUGGACGGAAGUCUGAACCAGCCAUGCCGCGUGCAGGAAGACGGCUCUAUGAGUUGUAAACUGCUUUCGUACAAGGGUAAACCUGAAUACGUGUAUUCAGCUGAAAGUACUGUACGAAUAAGGAUCGGCUAACUCCGUGCCAGCAGCCGUGGUAAUACGGAGGAUCCAAGAGUUGUCCGGAUUUAUUGGGUUUAAAGGGUGCGUAGGCGGAUUGAUAAGUUGGAGGUGAAAGGUCCGAGCUCAACUCGGGAACUGCCUCUAAUACGGUUGGUCUAGAGAGAAGGAGCGGGAGGCGGAAUGUAUGGUGUAGCAGUGAAAUGCUUAGAGAUC
rnacentral:rRNA from 1 species